rfam:Caenorhabditis elegans chromosome X
CCAACGGCCCUCUUUAGGGCCACAUAUCUAAAAUCCUAUUUUUCU